GGGAUGGUGGAAAGUGGCGGACUGGUGAGUAACACGUGGGUAAUCUACCAUGAAGUGAGGAAUAGCCCUUCUAACGGAGGGAUAAUACCACAUACGGUCUUGUCUUCACAUGGAGACUUGAUCAAAGAGGGGGAUCUUCGGACCUCUCGCUUUUUGAUGAACCCGCGCCCCAUUAGCUAGUUGGUAAGGUAACGGCUUACCAAGGCUCCGAUGGGUAGCCGGCCUGAGAGGGUGACCGGCCACACUGGGACUGAGAUACUGCCCAGACUCCUACGGGAGGCAGCAGGCGGGAAUAUUGAACAAUGCACGAAAGUGUGAUUCAGCGACGCCGCGUGAGGGAUUGACGCUCCUCGGAGUGUAAACCUCGAACGAAUAAGGACGAAGGAUAUACGGUCAAUACCCGUAUGUCUUGACGGUACUUAUUACGAAGCUCCGGCUAACUCCGUGCCAGCAGCCGCGGUAAUACGGGGGGAGCUAGCGUUGUUCGGAAUUACUGGGCGUAAAGGGCUUCUAGGCGGAUUGACAAGUCAGAGGUGAAAACUAUCGGCUCAACUGGUAGCUUGCCCUUGAAACUGUCAGUCUUGAAUGCGGAAGAUGUGCGGGGAAUUCACAGUGUAGCGGUGAAAUGCGUAGAUAUUGUGAAGAACACCGGAGGCGAAGGCGCCGCACUGGUCUAGCAUUGACGCUGAAGAGCGAAAGCGUGGGUAGCAAACAGGAUUAGAUACCCUGGUAGUCCACGCCGUAAACGAUGGAUACUAGGUGUGGGAGGUUUUACCUCUCGUGCCGAAGCUAACGCAUUAAGUAUCCCGCCUGGGGAGUACGGUCGCAAGGCUGAAACUAAAAGGAAUUGACGGGGCCCCGCACAAGCGGUGGAGCAUGAUGCUUAAUUCGAUGAUACGCGAAGAACCUUACCCGGGUUUGACAUGCCCCUGACAGCUCUGGAGACAGAGUUUUCCUUCGGGACAGGGGACACAGGUGCUGCAUGGCUGUCGUCAGCUCGUGUCGUGAGAUGUUGGGUUAAGUCCCGCAACGAGCGCAACCCUUGCUAUUAGUUGCCAUCUGGUAAUGCUGGGCACUCUAAUAGGACUGCCGGUGAUAAAUCGGAGGAAGGUGGGGAUGACGUCAAGUCCUCAUGGCCCUUACAUCCGGGGCUGCAAUCGUGCUACAAUGGACGGUACAGAGAGCCGCAAGACCGCGAGGUGGAGCAAAUCUCAAAAAGCCGUCCUCAGUUCGGAUUGGAGUCUGCAACUCGACUCCAUGAAGUCGGAAUCGCUAGUAAUCGUAGAUCAGAACGCUACGGUGAAUACGUUCCCGGGGCUUGUACACACCGCCCGUCAAGCGAUGAAAGCCGGGGGUGCCCGAAGUCGUUGCUCUAACCUUAGGGAAGAGCGCGCCGAAGGUAAACUCGGUGAUUGGCGCUAAGUCGAAACAAGGCA
rnacentral:rRNA from 1 species